UGAGGAAUAUUGGUCAAUGGGCGAGAGCCUGAACCAGCCAAGUCGCGCGAAGGAAGAUUUCUUUAUGGGUUGUAAAGUUGUUUACAACAGGAAUAACAAUGCUCCUUCACAGGUUAUGGCAUGUACAGUAUGAAUAAGCAUGGGCAACUUCGUG
rnacentral:rRNA from 1 species